rnacentral:rRNA from 1 species
GAUGAACGCUGGCGGCGUGCUUAACACAUGCAAGUCGAACGAAGCACUUUGGAUGGAUCUCUUCGGAAUGAUAUCCUUAGUGACUGAGUGGCGGACGGGUGAGUAACGCGUGGGUAACCUGCCUCAUACAGGGGGAUAACAGUUAGAAAUGGCUGCUAAUACCGCAUAAGCGCACAGUACCGCAUGGUACGGUGUGAAAAACUCCGGUGGUAUGAGAUGGACCCGCGUCUGAUUAGCUAGUUGGCAGGGUAACGGCCUACCAAGGCGACGAUCAGUAGCCGACCUGAGAGGGUGAUCGGCCACAUUGGGACUGAGACACGGCCCAAACUCCUACGGGAGGCAGCAGUGGGGAAUAUUGCACAAUGGGGGAAACCCUGAUGCAGCGACGCCGCGUGAAGGAAGACGUAUUUCGGUAUGUAAACUUCUAUCAGCAAGGAAGAUGAUGACGGUACUUGACUAAGAAGCCCCGGCUAACUACGUG